AUUGAACGCUGGCGGCAUGCUUUACACAUGCAAGUCGAACGGUAACAGGCCGCAAGGUGCUGACGAGUGGCGAACGGGUGAGUAAUGCAUCGGAACGUGCCCAGUCGUGGGGGAUAACGCAGCGAAAGCUGUGCUAAUACCGCAUACGAUCUAUGGAUGAAAGCGGGGGACCGUAAGGCCUCGCGCGAUUGGAGCGGCCGAUGUCAGAUUAGGUAGUUGGUGGGGUAAAGGCUCACCAAGCCAACGAUCUGUAGCUGGUCUGAGAGGACGACCGGCAACACUGGGACUGGGACAGGGCCAAGACUCCUACGGGAGGCAGCAGUGGGGAAUUUUGGACAAUGGGCGCAAGCCUGAUCCAGCAAUGCCGCGUGCAGGAAGAAGGCCUUCGGGUUGUAAACUGCUUUUGUACGGAACGAAAAGGUUUGGGUUAAUACCCUGGGCCGAUGACGGUACCGUAAGAAUAAGCACCGGCUAACUACGUGCCAGCCGCCGCAGUAACAC
rnacentral:rRNA from 1 species